rnacentral:rRNA from 1 species
GUGGGGAAUAUUGGACAAUGGGCGCAAGCCUGAUCCAGCCAUGCCGCGUGAGUGAUGAAGGCCCUAGGGUUGUAAAGCUCUAUCACCGGUGAAGAUAAUGACGGUAACCGGAGAAGAAGCCCCGGCUAACUUCGUGCCAGCAGCCGCGGUAAUACGAAGGGGGCUAGCGUUGUUCGGAAUUACUGGGCGUAAAGCGCACGUAGGCGGGUAUUUAAGUCAGGGGUGAAAUCACGGAGCUCAACUCCGGAACUGCCUUUGAUACUGGGUACCUAGAGUAUGGAAGAGGUAAGUGGAAUUCCGAGUGUAGAGGUGAAAUUCGUAGAUAUUCGGAGGAACACCAGUGGCGAAGGCGGCUUACUGGUCCAUUACUGACGCUCAUGCACGAAAGCGUGGGGAGCAAACAGGAUUAGAAACCCCUGUAGUCC